rnacentral:lncRNA from 1 species
UUCCUCUGAUGAUGAAAGCAAUUCCUUUAUAGGACAGAUUAAGGAGUAUCUGGUCCGAUUUAAGGAUUUUGUUAUGGAAGGGUUACGUAAAAUGAAGGAUUUUUUUGUCGAAGCAUUGCAACAGCUUAAGAACAGUUUUAUGGAUAUGCUAGUGAAGCUGAAGAAAGAUGUUGUUGGCCAAUGUGCACAAUGUAUAAAGAACAUUGCAUCCGAAUUGCUGCAGGAGUUAAAGAAUUUCUUUGGUGAAGAUGAAAUGGACAAAGUUGUAGUGCAAAAUGAGGGUUUUGGCAAGA